rnacentral:rRNA from 1 species
CUUACACAUGCAAGUCGAACGCGAAAGGGACUUCGGUUCUUAGUAGAGAGGCGCACGGGUGAGUAACGCGUAGAUAACCUGUCUUCAUAUCCGGAAUAACACGCCGAAAGGGGUACUAAUACCGGAUAUUCUUGCAUUUCACAGGUAAGGCAAGGAAAGGUGGCCUCUGAUUCAAGCUACUGUAUGAAGAGGGGUCUGCGUACCAUUAGCUAGUAGGUGGGGUAAUGGCCUACCUAGGCGACGAUGGUUAGCGGGUCUGAGAGGAUGAUCCGCCACACUGGCACUGGAAUACGGGCCAGACUCCUACGGGAGGCAGCAGUGAGGAAUAUUGCGCAAUGGGGGCAACCCUGACGCAGCGACGCCGCGUGAGUGAGGAAGGUCUUCGGAUCGUAAAGCUCUGUCAAGAGGGAAGAAGUGCAAGGCAGCGAAUAACUGUUUUGUUUGACGGUACCUCUAAAGGAAGCACCGGCUAACUCCGUGCCAGCAGCCGCGGUAAUACGGAGGGUGCGAGCGUUGUUCGGAAUCACUGGGCGUAAAGGGCGCGCAGGCGGGCUGUCAAGUCAGAUGUGAAAUCCCACGGCUUAACUGUGGACGUGCAUUUGAAACUGGCAGUCUUGAGUACCAGAGGGGAAUGUGGAAUUCCCGGUGUAGAGGUGAAAUUCGUAGAUAUCGGGAGGAGUACCGGUGGCGAAGGCGACAUUCUGGCUGGAUACUGACGCUGAGGCGCGAAAGCGUGGGGAGCAAACAGGAUUAGAUACCCUGGUAGUCCACGCCGUAAACGAUGUGAACUAGAUGCAGGGGGUGUUGAUCCCCUCUGUGUCGCAGCUAACGCAUUAGUUCACCGCCUGGGGAGUACGGUCGCAAGAUUAAAACUCAAAGGAAUUGACGGGGGCCCGCACAAGCGGUGGAGUAUGUGGUUUAAUUCGAUGCAACGCGAAGAACCUUACCUGG